AAGUACUCAAAUAGGCUUUUUUGGGGCUAUGAAAUCAAGAUCUUUUAACAUUAAUUAAAGAUUGACAUUCUCUGUAGAAUGCCAUAGUCAAUGCUAUGUUUUCCUGUGGAGUUAUAAAA
rnacentral:snoRNA from 1 species